GAUACCCUGGUAGUNCACGCCGUAAACGAUGAGUGNUAGGUGUUAGGCCCUUUCCGGGGGCUUAGUGCCGCAGCUAACGCAUUNAAGCACUCCGCCUGGGGAGUACGACCGCAAGGUUGAAACUCAAAGGAAUUGACGGGGGCCCGCACAAGCGNNNGAGCAUGUGGUUUAAUUCGAAGCAACGCGAANNNCNUUACCAGGUCUUGACAUCCCUNUGACCGCUCUAGAGAUAGAGUUUUCCUUCGGGACAGAGGUGACAGGUGGUGCAUGGUUGUCGUCAGCUCGUGUCGUGAGAUGUUGGGNUAANNNNNGCAACGAGCGCAACCCNUANUGUUAGUUGCCAUCAUUCAGUUGGGCACUCUAGCGAGACUGCCGGUAAUAAACCGGAGGAAGGUGGGGAUGACGUCAAAUCAUCAUGCCCCUUAUGACCUGGGCUACACACGUGCUACAAUGGCUGGUACAACGAGUCGCAAGCCGGUGACGGCAAGCUAAUCUNUGAAAGCCAGUCUCAGUUCGGAUUGUAGGNUGCA
rnacentral:rRNA from 1 species